ensembl:lncRNA
AUGCAGGGACCCGAGGAGGCGCGCGAGGACCGACCGGUCACCGCUCCAAUUACCUCAUCGCUUCAGCUCCCCGCCCCUUUCCCAAACCUGGAAGAACUGUCCCCUCCGGUCCCGGUCACCGCUCCCGCCCCGCGUCCCUCCCCCCUCCGCCACCCCGAUCCCGAGCGGGUCUCGGGGAAACGCGCCCGCCUCCCCGGGGGGACUGCCGGGCCCGGAGAUGCGCGCACCCAAGGGUUAAGGGCGCCGGCCGGCGGCCGCGCCGUGCGCUCGCGGUGCUCAGAGCGGCUCGCCCCGCCGCCCCGCCGGAGGGUGGCCCCCCCCAACCCCCGCGAAGUCGGAUCCUUGAGCUGCGGCGGCGGCAGCCAACUGCUCCAUAUUUGGCUUCUAUUACACAUUUACAUACUGGAGCGAGCAAGCGAGCGAGCGCGAGAGAGCGCGAGGGAGGGCGGGCGGAGGGAGGAGGGAGGAGGGAGGAGGGAGGAGGAGGAGAGCAGAGUAUACCGCAGACAUCAUUUCUACUACAGUGGCGGAGCCGUACAGGACCUGUUUCACUGCAGGGGGAUCCAAAACAAGCCCCGUGGAGCAGCAGCCAGAGCUACAGCAGCCGCAAGACACUGUUUCUCUCCCUCUGCCCCCCCUUCCCCACGCAACCCCAGAUCCAUUUACACUUUACAGAGGAGCCGGCUGCAAAUCACCGAGGUGUUCCAUUCAAGCUGCAGAUUUGUCUGUCGUCUUUGGACAGCAGUCUCUUCCUCCACGGCUGCUUUGGGGGAGUCCAACACCCAUCGGGUCACAGAGAGUGCUGGUGGACAACUCUCCCUGCCCCAAGAUCUUCGGUGGAAGUCCACGGGACUUGGUGUCUGGGCCAUUCAAAGUAUAUAUGAACUCACCAGGAGGCAUAAUGCGUCACCAUUUAAUUCUGGGCCACCCUAA